rnacentral:rRNA from 1 species
AACGCGAAGAACCUUACCUACUCUUGACAUCCAGAGAACUUAGCAGAGAUGCUUUGGUGCCUUCGGGAACUCUGAGACAGGUGCUGCAUGGCUGUCGUCAGCUCGUGUUGUGAAAUGUUGGGUUAAGUCCCGCAACGAGCGCAACCCUUAUCCUUUGUUGCCAGCGAUUCGGUCGGGAACUCAAAGGAGACUGCCAGUGAUAAACUGGAGGAAGGUGGGGAUGACGUCAAGUCAUCAUGGCCCUUACGAGUAGGGCUACACACGUGCUACAAUGGCAUAUACAAAGAGAAGCGACCUCGCGAGAGCAAGCGGACCUCAUAAAGUGCGUCGUAGUCCGGAUUGGAGUCUGCAACUCGACUCCAUGAAGUCGGAAUCGCUAGUAAUCGUGGAUCAGAAUGCCACGGUGAAUACGUUCCCGGGUCUUGUACACACCG